GUGGUGUCUAAUAAGAGCAUAUGGUGGAUGCCUAGGCUUUGAGAGGCGAUGAAGGACGUGGCGUGACUGCGAUAAGCUUCGGGGAGGUGUCUAGCAACCUUUGAUCCGGAGAUUUCCGAAUGGGGAAACC
rfam:Candidatus Ryanbacteria bacterium RIFCSPHIGHO2_02_FTLL_45_13b rifcsphigho2_02_scaffold_637, whole genome shotgun sequence.